rnacentral:misc_RNA from 1 species
CCGAGUUUUCUACUCCCAAACCCCUGUGAACUUAUACCUUUACUGUUGCUUCGGCGGGUUAACGCCCCGGAACGGCCCCCCAAGGCCUCCCGGAACCAGGCGCCCGCCGGGGGACCCAAACUCUUGUAUUUCUUACUUUGCAUGUCUGAGUGGAAUCAUAAACAAAUGAAUCA